AGAGUUUGAUCAUGGCUCAGAUUGAACGCUGGCGGCAGGCCUAACACAUGCAAGUCGAGCGGUAGCACAGAGAGCUUGCUCUCGGGUGACGAGCGGCGGACGGGUGAGUAAUGUCUGGGAAACUGCCUGAUGGAGGGGGGAUAACUACUGGAAACGGUAGCUAAUACCGCAUAACGUCGCAAGACCAAAGUGGGGGACCUUCGGGCCUCAUGCCAUCAGAUGUGCCCAGAUGGGAUUAGCUAGUAGGUGGGGUAACGGCUCACCUAGGCGACGAUCCCUAGCUGGUCUGAGAGGAUGACCAGCCACACUGGAACUGAGACACGGUCCAGACUCCUACGGGAGGCAGCAGUGGGGAAUAUUGCACAAUGGGCGCAAGCCUGAUGCAGCCAUGCCGCGUGUGUGAAGAAGGCCUUCGGGUUGUAAAGCACUUUCAGCGGGGAGGAAGGCGAUAAGGUUAAUAACCUUGUCGAUUGACGUUACCCGCAGAAGAAGCACCGGCUAACUCCGUGCCAGCAGCCGCGGUAAUACGGAGGGUGCAAGCGUUAAUCGGAAUUACUGGGCGUAAAGCGCACGCAGGCGGUCUGUCAAGUCGGAUGUGAAAUCCCCGGGCUCAACCUGGGAACUGCAUUCGAAACUGGCAGGCUAGAGUCUUGUAGAGGGGGGGUAGAAUUCCAGGUGUAGCGGUGAAAUGCGUAGAGAUCUGGAGGAAUACCGGUGGCGAAGGCGGCCCCCUGGACAAAGACUGACGCUCAGGUGCGAAAGCGUGGGGAGCAAACAGGAUUAGAUACCCUGGUAGUCCACGCCGUAAACGAUGUCGAUUUGGAGGUUGUGCCCUUGAGGCGUGGCUUCCGGAGCUAACGCGUUAAAUCGACCGCCUGGGGAGUACGGCCGCAAGGUUAAAACUCAAAUGAAUUGACGGGGGGCCCGCACAAGCGGUGGAGCAUGUGGUUUAAUUCGAUGCAACGCGAAGAACCUUACCUGGUCUUGACAUCCACAGAACUUUCCAGAGAUGGAUUGGUGCCUUCGGGAACUGUGAGACAGGUGCUGCAUGGCUGUCGUCAGCUCGUGUUGUGAAAUGUUGGGUUAAGUCCCGCAACGAGCGCAACCCUUAUCCUUUGUUGCCAGCGGUUCGGCCGGGAACUCAAAGGAGACUGCCAGUGAUAAACUGGAGGAAGGUGGGGAUGACGUCAAGUCAUCAUGGCCCUUACGACCAGGGCUACACACGUGCUACAAUGGCAUAUACAAAGAGAAGCGACCUCGCGAGAGCAAGCGGACCUCAUAAAGUAUGUCGUAGUCCGGAUUGGAGUCUGCAACUCGACUCCAUGAAGUCGGAAUCGCUAGUAAUCGUAGAUCAGAAUGCUACGGUGAAUACGUUCCCGGGCCUUGUACACACCGCCCGUCACACCAUGGGAGUGGGUUGCAAAAGAAGUAGGUAGCUUAACCUUCGGGAGGGCGCUUACCACUUUGUGAUUCAUGACUGGGGUGAAGUCGUAACAAGGUAACCGUAGGGGAACCUGCGGUUGGAUCACCU
rnacentral:rRNA from 2 species